GCGGUGGAGCAUGUGGUUCAAUUCGACGCAACGCGAAGAACCUUACCUGGGCUUGACAUCCGCUGACAGUCCCGAAACGGGAUCUUCCCCGCAAGGGGACAGCGAGACAGGUGCUGCAUGGCUGUCGUCAGCUCGUGUCGUGAGAUGUUCGGUUAAGUCCGCUAACGAGCGCAACCCUCGUCGUAUGUUAUAUGUGUCAUACGAGACUGCCGGUAAAAGCCGGAGGAAGGUGAGGAUGAUGUCAAGUCAGCAUGACCUUUAUAUCCAGGGCUACACACACGCUACAAUGGUCUGUACAAUGGGUAGCCAAGCCGCGAGGCGGAGCCAAUCCUGAAAGCAGGCCUCAGUUCAGAUUGCAGUCUGCAACUCGACUGCAUGAAGCCGGAGUUGCUAGUAACCGCAGGUCAGCAAUACUGCGGUGAAUACGUUCCCGGGUCUU
rnacentral:rRNA from 1 species